rnacentral:misc_RNA from 1 species
UACGUAGGUGGCGAGCGUUAUCCGGAUUUACUGGGUGUAAAGGGUGUGUAGGCGGGCUUGCAAGUCAGAUGUGAAAACUACGGGCUUAACCUGUAGCCUGCAUUUGAAACUGUGAGUCUUGAGAGUGGGAGAGGUAAACGGAAUUCCGAGUGUAGCGGUGAAAUGCGUAGAUAUUCGGAGGAACACCGGUGGCGAAGGCGGUUUACUGGCCCACAACUGACGCUGAGACACGAAAGCGUGGGGAGCAAACAGG